AUACGUAGGUGGCAAGCGUUGUCCGGAUUUAUUGGGCGUAAAGCGAGCGCAGGCGGUUCUUUAAGUCUGAUGUGAAAGCCCCCGGCUCAACCGGGGAGGGUCAUUGGAAACUGGAGAACUUGAGUGCAGAAGAGGAGAGUGGAAUUCCAUGUGUAGCGGUGAAAUGCGUAGAUAUAUGGAGGAACACCAGUGGCGAAGGCGGCUCUCUGGUCUGGAACUGACGCGGAGGCUCGAAAGCGUGGGGAGCAAACAGGAUUAGAUACCCUGGUAGUCCACGCCGUAAACGAUGAGUGCUAAGUGUUGGAGGGUUUCCGCCCUUCAGUGCUGCAGCUAACGCAUUAAGCACUCCGCCUGGGGAGUACGGCCGCAAGGCUGAAACUCAAAGGAAUUGACGGGG
rnacentral:rRNA from 1 species